rnacentral:rRNA from 1 species
AUUGAACGCUGGCGGCAGGCCUAACACAUGUAAGUCGAGCGAGCGGCGGACGGGUGAGUAAUGUCUGGGAAACUGCCUGAUGGAGGGGGAUAACUACUGGAAACGGUAGCUAAUACCGCAUACCAUCAGAUGUGCCCAGUUGGGAUAGGCUAGUAGGGGGGGUAACGGCUCACCUAGGCGCGGAUCCCUAGCUGUUCUGGGAGGAUGACCAGCCACACUGGAACUGAGAAACGGUCCAGACUCCUACGGGAGGCAGCAGUGGGGAAUAUUGCACAAUGGGCGCAAGCCUGAUGCAGCCAUGCCGCGUGUGUGAAGAAGGCCUUCGGGUUGUAAAGCACUUUCAGCGGGGAGGCGUUACCCGCAGAAGAAGCACCGGCUAACUCCGUGCCAGCAGCCGCGGUAAUUC